AUGAACGCUGGCGGCGUGCCUAAUACAUGCCAGUCGAGCGAACAGACGAGGAGCUUGCUCCUCUGACGUUAGCGGCGGACGGGUGAGUAACACGUGGAUAACCUACCUAUAAGACUGGGAUAACUUCGGGAAACCGGAGCUAAUACCGGAUAAUAUAUUGAACCGCAUGGUUCAAUAGUGAAAGACGGUUUUGCUGUCACUUAUAGAUGGAUCCGCGCCGCAUUAGCUAGUUGGUAAGGUAACGGCUUACCAAGGCAACGAUGCGUAGCCGACCUGAGAGGGUGAUCGGCCACACUGGAACUGAGACACGGUCCAGACUCCUACGGGAGGCAGCAGUAGGGAAUCUUCCGCAAUGGGCGAAAGCCUGACGGAGCAACGCCGCGUGAGUGAUGAAGGUCUUCGGAUCGUAAAACUCUGUUAUUAGGGAAGAACAAAUGUGUAAGUAACUAUGCACGUCUUGACGGAACCUAAUCAGAAAGCCACGGCUAACUACGUG
rnacentral:rRNA from 1 species